rnacentral:rRNA from 1 species
CCUACGGGAGGCAGCAGUGGGGAAUAUUGGGCAAUGGAGGCAACUCUGACCCAGCAACGCCGCGUGAAUGAUGAAGGUCUUCGGAUUGUAAAGUUCUUUUCUAAGGGAAGAAGAAAGUGACGGUACCUUAGGAAUAAGCCUCGGCUAACUACGUGCCAGCAGCCGCGGUAAUACGUAGGAGGCAAGCGUUAUCCGGAAUGACUGGGCGUAAAGGGUGCGUAGGUGGUUUGACAAGUUAGUAGCGCAACUCCGGAGCUCAACUUCGGAACUACUACUAAAACUGUUGGACUUGAGUGCAGGAGGGGCAAUCGGAAUUCCUAGUGUAGCGGUGGAAUGCGUAGAUAUCACGAAGAACCCCGAUUGCGAAGGCAGCCUGCCGCAGCGUUACUGACGCUGAAGCUCGAAAGCGCGGGUAUCGAACAGGAUUAGAUACCCGAGUAGUC